UUGAAAGGGAAACGAUUGAAGUCAGUCGUACCGACGGAGGAUCAACCUUUGAAAGGGGCGAGGUAUUCGAGGAGUUUAAAAGCCCUCUUGCGCUCACGUACUUCGUUUUCUUUGGUGCACUUCUUCGUAUGGUAGGUUAACAUCAAUUUUGGACGUUACAAAAUGAUCGGGGGAAUGUAGCUUCGAUUUUUUCGAAGUGUUAUAGACCUUGGUAGAUGUGACGACCGGGAUUGAGGAUUGCAACGAAUGCUUUCGGGCUAUCCGUCCGACCUCUGGUGGUUGCUUUAGGGUCGAAAGCGUGCUUACGACUUUAAAGUUGGCUAUCAAAAGGCUAGAACGUGAUUAAAUUCGUUAAGGAUGUUGACGUA
rnacentral:rRNA from 1 species